rnacentral:rRNA from 1 species
GACGAACGCUGGCGGCGUGCUUAACACAUGCAAGUCGAACGGAAAGGCCCUGCUUUUGUGGGGUGCUCGAGUGGCGAACGGGUGAGUAACACGUGAGUAACCUGCCCUUGACUUUGGGAUAACUUCAGGAAACUGGGGCUAAUACCGGAUAGGAGCUCCUGCUGCAUGGUGGGGGUUGGAAAGUUUCGGCGGUUGGGGAUGGACUCGCGGCUUAUCAGCUUGUUGGUGGGGUAGUGGCUUACCAAGGCUUUGACGGGUAGCCGGCCUGAGAGGGUGACCGGGCACAUGGGGACUGAGAGAGGGCGCAGUCGCCUAUGGUAGGCAGAAGUGGGGAAUAUGGUACAAUGGGCCGAAGCGUGAGGCAGCAACGCCGCGUGCGGGAAGACGGUCUGCGGGUUGUAAACCGCUUUCGCCUGAGACGAAGCGGGAGUGACGGUAAUGGGUAAAGAAGCACCGGCUAACUACGUG